GCUUGGAUCCUUUGCCAACCAACAAACAUAUCUCUACAUCUGCACUGCAAACUCUUCACGUGUUUCUCAGCUUUCUCUCUCCCUCUCUUUUGCUUUCCUUCUGUUACCUCCUUCCUACCUCUCUUGCACUCUUCUUUACUUUUAUCUCUUUGGUUUGUUUCUUUUGUUUUCUGAGAAAAAAGAAAAUCUUAUCCACUGGCCCGACAUUGCCAGCAACCUUUUUGUCUUUGUGUUUUUUGUUCGGUCUCGUUCUUUGAGGGUCGUUUCUUGUUUUAAGAUAUAUAUAUUUAUAUAUAUCUCAAAGAGUAGUUUUGUUCGUUGGUUGACAAAGAAAGAUAUUUUUUUAAACCCCAAAAAGGAAAAAAAAAAAAAGUUCACUUAUUUUUCUGGUAUGGAAAACAAAAGGCAAGUGAGUGGCUCUUCAUCAUCAUCAUCAUCAUCUUCAUCGUCUGUUUCUUUGGAUCAUCUCUUUGGUCCAAAGGACUCUUCUUCUUCAUCAACUACCACAACUGGGCUUUUUGGAACUAUUUUUCCCCCUCCAUCAGUGGUGCUGGGGAGGGACUCAACUCACUCCGGAAUUAGAGGUUCAUGGAAUACUCAGGGUUUGCCCCAUCAUGCCAGAUAUGGAACAGAUCAUAACACUGAUUAUAGCAAGGGACAAAGCAGCAGCACAAGGAAUAAAGACAAGAGUUCAUCCGUUUAUCACAAUGAAACAGUGGAACCUAGCUAUCUCAGCUCAUCUAUUUACUAUGGAGGCCAAGAAAACUAUUCUCCAAGGAAGAAAACCACUGAGUCUCCCCCCUAUUUUCAAAAAGAUGGGGGAGAUGAUGAUCCCAAUGGAAACAAUUCUCAUGGUGCUUCAAGAGGAAAUUGGUGGCAGGGUAUGAAGAAGCAUUAGCUUUAUGGCUCACUUUAUUACUAACAUCUUAAUCCUAAAUAAUCCAAGUUUCCUAUCCAAAACUGUAAGGAAGUAGGGCUGGUUGUAUGAUCAAAAUCUUAUUACUGCUAUGGACAAUAAGCUGGUAGAUAUAGCCUAGCAUUGCAGUAGAACCAUAUAUACAUAUAUAUAUAUAUAUUUAGCUUAGGACAUAAUGGAAGAAUAUUAGGUUCUUUUUGUCUCAACUCUCCCACUUGAACAAGUCUCAUCCUGUAAGCUUAUGUAUUUAUAGCAGUCAGUUUGUGAAAUCUUGUAUUUUAUUUCUUUUCAAUAUAUAUAUAAUCUAUCUAUUUUCUAUGAACUCCAUUUUAACUAUGGACUAAAAUAUCUUUCUAAAA